AUUGAACGCUGGCGGCAGGCGUAACACAUGCAAGUCGAGCGAGCGGCGGACGGGUGAGUAAUGUAUGGGGACUGCCCGAUAGAGGGGGAUAACUACUGGAAACGGUAGCUAAUACCGCAUACUAUCGGAUAACCCAUAUGGGAUUAGCUAGUAGGUGAGGUAAUGGCUCCCAGUGGCGACGAUCCCUAGCUGGACUGAGAGGAUGAUCAGCCACACUGGGACUGAGACACGGCCCAGACUACUACGGAGGCAGCAGUGGGGAAGAUUGCACAAUGGGCGCAAGCCUGAUGCAGCCAUGCCGGGUGGAUGAAGAAGGCCCUAGGGUUGUAAAGAUCUUUGAGUCGGGAGGCGUUACCGACAGAAGAAGCACCGGCUAACUCCGUUCCAGCAGCCGCGGUAAUAC
rnacentral:rRNA from 1 species